UACGAAGGGGGAUAGCGUUGUUCGGAAUCACUGGGCGUAAAGCGCACGCAGGCGGAUCGUUAAGUCAGGGGUGAAAUGCCGAGGCUCAACCUCGGAACUGCCUUUGAUACUGGCGAUCUUAGAGUCCGGGAGAGGUGAGUGGAACUCCGAGUGUAGAGGUGAAAUUCGUAGAUAUUCGGAAGAACACCAGUGGCGAAGGCGGCUCACUGGCCCGGUACUGACGCUCAGGUGCGAAAGCGUGGGGAGCAAACAGG
rnacentral:rRNA from 1 species